rnacentral:rRNA from 2 species
AUAAGCGCCGGUAAGGUGAUAUGAACCGUUAUAACCGGCGAUACCCGAAUGGGGAAACCCAGUGUGAUUCGUCACACUAUCAUUAACUGAAUCCAUAGGUUAAUGAGGCGAACCGGGGGAACUGAAACAUCUAAGUACCCCGAGGAAAAGAAAUCAACCGAGAUUCCCCCAGUAGCGGCGAGCGAACGGGGAGGAGCCCAGAGCCUGAAUCAGCAUGUGUGUUAGUGGAAGCGUCUGGAAAGGCGCGCGAUACAGGGUGACAGCCCCGUACACAAAAGCGCAUGUGCUGUGAGCUCGAUGAGUAGGGCGGGACACGUGGUAUCCUGUCUGAAUAUGGGGGGACCAUCCUCCAAGGCUAAAUACUCCUGACUGACCGAUAGUGAACCAGUACCGUGAGGGAAAGGCGAAAAGAACCCCGGCGAGGGGAGUGAAAAAGAACCUGAAACCGUGU